rnacentral:rRNA from 1 species
CCUACGGGCGGCAGCAGUGGGGAAUAUUGCACAAUGGGCGCAAGCCUGAUGCAGCCAUGCCGCGUGUAUGAAGAAGGCCUUCGGGUUGUAAAGUACUUUCAGCGGGGUGGAAGGGAGUAAAGUUAAUACCUUUGCUCAUUGACGUUACACGCAGAAGAAGCACCGGCUAACUCCGUGCCAGCAGCCGCGGUAAUACGGAGGGUGCAAGCGUUAAUCGGAAUUACUGGGCGUAAAGCGCACGCAGGCGGUUUGUUAAGUCAGAUGUGAAAUCCCCGGGCUCAACCUGGGAACUGCAUCUGAUACUGGCAAGCUUGAGUCUCGUAGAGGGGGGUAGAAUUCCAGGUGUAGCGGUGAAAUGCGUAGAGAUCUGGAGGAAUACCGGUGGCGAAGGCGGCCCCCUGGACGAAGACUGACGCUCAGGUGCGAAAGCGUGGGGAGCAAACAGGAUUAGAUACCCGCGUAGUC